GAUGUCCUGUGGAUUCUGUGGAUCCUGUGGGUUGCAGGGUGGGUCCUACCUAGACCAGGCUGAUCCUGGACCAUCCCACAGAUGCUCCAUCAGAUGUGGAUGUGGGGAGUGUGGAACCCAGAUGUUCAGAGGGAGAUGAUGCCACAUCUGGUCCAGCUGAUGGAAGGUCUUGAAGUUCUCUGACUGGCCUCGACUGAAGAUGGUCGUCUCACUGGAUUUAAGGUUCAGAUGCUCAGUAACAAACUCCACCAAUGAGCCAACAGGGAAGCUGUAGGUUUAUUAAAUGUUGCUAUGAAGGUUUCGCUGUUUUUCUUUGUGAAUGCAAUGUGCUCCAACUGAAACUUGAAUUAGAACUUAGAAGUAAAUCCUUCCAUCUGAAAGGAUUUAGUUGCAUUAAUAACUUCAUAACAUUUUAAUUUUUAUUCCAGUCUUGGUUGGAAAUAGAAUCUCUGUAUUGAUUCAGGUAAAAACUGAACUUCACAGCAUGUUGGAGCAAAACAACCAGAUGAAAACUGUGAUGGUGUUGGAUUGUCAGACCGUAAUGUUGCAGCUCAAAGCAGCUUUUCUAUCUCAGUUCAUUCUGACAUUCAGCUAUGAAUCAACACAGCAGAUGGUGAUCCAUGCUGUGGAAGUCUCACAUCUCCUGAUUUAAUGGAGCUGCUUUGCACUUUUUACACUGUUUAUUCACCAACACUUUAUUUAAUAAAAGUCCCAUCUAGUUUUUAUGAGGAAUGUGAUGUUUUAAUUUCUCUGUGAAUAACUGCAGUCUAAUGGAACAGCUGGAGUUGUAACAUCUGUCCUGAUAUUGAUCAUGAAGUAUUGAUCAGAAUACUUACGGUCAGCAGUCAUCCCUGAAGUUUUACAUUAAAAUCUUUACUUGUGUUGUGAACUUUGGUAAGAAGCAGAAACUUUAGCAUUGCCAUGGAUACAUGGGUGUUAAAUUCUGUCCAUGUUUCCAUUUUGGGAAAUUCAGUCCAGCAGAUGAGUUUGUUUUUACUGCCAGCUACCAUUCAGUCUGAGAUAUUAAGAAUAAAUAAAUGUGCAUAAUGUGGAAAUGAACAGAUUUUAUUUUUAUUUAUUCCUACAGCAGCUGCAGAUAAAGUUCCAGAAUGUGGAGGAAUUUAGUCUCAUAAUCACAGACAAAUAUUAUCUGAAAGUUGGGUUAUUGUUGUUUAUCAGCACAAUACAAAAAGAUUCAUGUUAGACAUAUUCCAGUUAAUUCAUUGGAUAUAUCCAAUGAAUUAUCCACUCAUUUGGAUAUAUUUAAGUGAAACUCUACAAUAUUAUUUAUGACACAAAUCUAUCUAAAUCAACAUUUUAAUCAUUUCUUACUCCAAACAUUUACUGGACUGAUUUAAAUAUCAAAAUCAUUCCUUUCUAAUCCUCUGCUGUACGUUCAAACCUGAGGCCUUAAAUAGAAACACACAAGUAUCUGAUUGAAGGAACUUCUGCAGAGUCCUGGUUCCAGAACAUGAUGAUAGAAUUAUAGACAAACUUUAACAAAAGCUGCCUGAGAGUUUACAGCUUUUUAUGUUAGAUUUCUUCAGUAAUUUAAUGAGAGUUAUCAGCAAAAAUCAAGUGUUCAUUUAAUGAACUUCAUUUCCUAAAACAUCCAGAAUUGGAGCUCAUAUCUUUGGCAGCUGUAAAGUUUCUGCUCCUUCAAAGUUCACAACACAAUGAAUGAAUUCCUAAAACACUCUCAAUGCUGGAGAGUGUUUGUGAUGCUGAAGCAAUGACCAGUUUUUCUGUUUCUUCUCUGGAGAUGCACAAUGAGGGACGUCUGCAGCGACUGAGAAAGAGUCUCACCACAUCCUGACAUGAGGAAAAAGACUUUAUUGAAGACUACAAUGAGAAAAACUAUCAGACAGCAGACGGCUGCAUUCAAGUCUGUAGCUGCUGAAUUCAUGGAUGAAUCAUCUGGCACGAGAGAGGAAGACCAUCAAACAUCCACGUCAGCUGAUGGAGGUCCAAGAGUCUCACUGAACAAACAACCUACAGAGUGAAGACCUCGAAUCUGAUUGGACGGCCUCCUAUUCAGCCUCGUGUGAACAAAUGCCUCUAAGCUGAUUUGUUUUCUAAAAUAAAUCCAGUUUGUGUCCUAAUCUAUGCCUGUGUGUUUGCUUCUUUACACCGCUGUUAACAGUUUAGGCUGUUAGAUUGUUCCAGAUAAGACAAGUACAAGAUUCUUCAGAGCCGUUCUACCACGAGCCUGACAGGAAGAACUCCAACAGCUACUGAAUGUUCCUGUGGUUCCCUCAAGGCUACAGGAGGAGCCCUACGAGGACGAGCCGGUCCACCUGAUGGUGGCCAGUCGCUGCGGUUCAAAGCCAACACCGACUACGUGGACUUCUACUGGACCACACGGAGGCCUUCAAACCGGACCAACAAGUUCAGCGACUCCCCGACUCAUGGGUCUGAGGACGCCGCCGAGCCUCUGUCCAGCCGGCCUCCUGUCUGUGGGUGUUUGAGUGCUGAGAGGUUUGUGGAUGCAUGUGAGCGUUCUGUGUUGAAACAGCAGCUUUGGACUCAGUAACACCGGGAAAAACCAAGAGCUCCUUUAUUUGUGACUUCCACUAAAAAACUGAUGAAAAUAAGUUUGCCAGGGUUCUGACUGAUAACAGAUUAUUAAAUAAUGAAAAUAAUCCUUUAAAUAUUCCUUUAAACAAUCCUUUUAGGUCUACGUUUCCUUUGGUGGAAUACCAAAGAUUUAGAGUAUUUAGAGUAGAAUAUUACUCCAAACCAUCCUUUAGGUCUACAUUUAAGGUGGAAUACUCCUUAACACCAAGAUUUUUUUGGUCUACAUCGAAGGACUUUAGGUUGAAUAUUCCUUUGAACAAACUUUUUAAGUUAAUGUUCCAGGAUGUUGGGUGGAAAAUACCAUCAGACCAACCUCCAAGGUCUACAGUAGUGCAUUUUAGGUGGAAUAUACCAUUAAACUCACCUUUUAGGUCUACAUUGGAGGAUUUUAGAUGGAAUUUUCUUCCAAACCGUCUUUUAGUCUACAUGUAAGGAUGUUUAGGAUGGUAUAUUCUUCCAAACCAACUUCUCAGGUCUACAUUUCAGGUGGAUUCCUCCAUACUAACUUUUUUGGUCUACAUUGAAGGAUUUUUUUCUAAACCACCCUUUGGGGUCUAUAUUUGAGGUUUUAGGUGGAAUAUUCCUUUUAACCAGCCCCUCAGGUCUCUUUGAGGAUUUUGGAUGGAAUACUUGGUUAAACCAACAUUUUAGGUGCAUGUCUAAGGAUUUUUGGUGGAAUGUUCCUUUAAGGUGGAUGUGUGAGGACCUUGUAGGUGGAAUACUUCCUGAAACCAACCUUUUAGGUCAACAUUCAAAGAUUUAAGGAGGAAUAUUCCUUUAAACCAACCUAAAUUUCAUGUUUUCAUCAUUAUCAAGUGAGAAACUUCAAUCCAGACUCCUCAUAAUGACAUUUGAGAUUUAUGCUGCUGUUAUUUGUUUAGUCCAGACUAAAUGACAGAAAUCCACAACUGUAAUUUUAUUUCAGGACUCGGUUAUUAAAUGUCAAAACAAUCCAUGUGACUCUGAAAACUCAACAGCUUUACAAACUCUAAGAUUAAACUCUCC
ensembl:lncRNA